ACAUGAAUUUUAUAGUUAUGGUGAAUGCAGUUGUUGUUGUAUUAGUACCUAUGACUUACAAUAGUACUAGUUCUGUUAUUGUCUCCAAACUUGUAGCAUCCUUCAUGUUCCUUUAUACAAAUUGAUUUUUUAUUGUACCAAUAAGAGAACAACCUAAGCAGCAGAGGAAGAUAAUUAAAUAAUACACCAAAGGUGGUCAUCUUUAUGCCUUUCCUUUUGUGGAAUCCUGCCUUUCCUAAAGGCCACUCAUGUUGCAAAUUGCAUCAGGCAAGGUUGAGGAUAUCUGGUGACUGAUUUCUGAUAGCCCCUAAAUUAGCAAGCUGGUAGAUACGUGUUUGAGAGGCUUGCUCAGUGCCUUCAAGAUCUUGGCACUAAUCAAUUAUUGCUAUUAAAAUAUGCUUCUUUGGUAAUGUAUAACCACCCACCAUCUUAUGAUUUUGACUUGAGUGGAAGGCCCUUAAUAUUUUAAUCAAUACCACUUCAAUUUGCUUUCUGGUAUCCUCUGUAUAAAUAAGCUUUCAGAUACCUUCACAAAUGAUAGUAGUCUUCAAGAUUCUAGACAGUGAAUCCUGUGCAUGCAAGACUUCCUUGAGUUCAACAGAAACUUAUCUCCUGUUUCUUGUCAUGUUCUCUACUCCACUUGUCUUGAGACUCUACAACUUUCCUUCUGAGAGGACUGGAACGCUCCAAAUGUUGUUUUGCUUCCGAUGGUAGUCAUUGCUGAAACCGGCAGAGUAGAUCAUCUGCUUUUGACUAAGAACAGA
rnacentral:lncRNA from 1 species